GCCACACCUAGCUUCUUCUCUCAAUCAGAAACUCAAGCUUAGGCCUAAGGAAAAUUAAUGGCAGACCCUGUGAGCUCAGAUCAUGUAGCCAUGUUUCCAUGGUUUGCUUAUGGGCAUUUCAUUCCAUACCUUCACCUGGCUAACAAGCUUGCUGAAAGAGGUUACAGAGUCUCCUUCCUGUUGCCCAGAGGAGCAAAGCCUAAGUUAACCCAACUGAACCAGUAUCCCAAUCUUAUUCACUUCUUUCCUUUGAUCGUCCCCCAUGUGGACGGUCUUCCUUCUGGUGCUGAAACAUCUGCCGAUAUACCCUUUUCACUUCAGAAUUAUCUUUGCACAGCCAUGGACCAAA
rnacentral:misc_RNA from 1 species